rnacentral:lncRNA from 1 species
GCCUCUGAUUAAAGGGUUUGUUUAGUUGUACAAGUGAAUCGAGAGUAAUUUCUGUAUGAAAGCCAUUGUCAAUCAUUUUGAAAGUAUGAUUGGUCUGAUAAUGGCGAGAUAUGAUCACCUUGAAGUGGGUUGGAAAGUACCCCUUCUAGUGAAUUAGUGUUCAAUAUGUGUUAACUCCUUUCUUAUUAACAAUAUAUGUGUGUGUGUGUGAUCAAAGGACUAUAUGAGUCAUAUGACUG